CCUACGGGAGGCAGCAGUAGGGAAUCUUUCACAAUGGGCGAAAGCCUGAUGGAGCAACGCCGCGUGCAGGAUGAAGGCCUUCGGGUUGUAAACUGCUUUUAUAAGCGAGAAAUAUGAUGGUAACUUAUGAAUAAGGAUCGGCUAACUACGUGCCAGCAGCCGCGGUCAUACGUAGGAUCCGAGCAUUAUCCGGAGUGACUGGGUGUAAAGAGUUGCGUAGGUGGCAUAAUAAGUAGCUAGUGAAAUCUGGUGGCUCAACCAUUCAGACUAUUAGCUAAACUGUUGAGCUCGAGACCGUUAGGGGUAACUGGAAUGUCUAGUGUAGGAGUGAAAUCCGUAGAUAUUAGAAGGAACACCAAUAGCGUAGGCAGGUUGCUGGGACGGUUCUGACACUAAGGCACGAAAGCGUAGGGAGCAAACGGGAUUAGAUACCCGUGUAGUC
rnacentral:rRNA from 1 species